rnacentral:rRNA from 1 species
CCUACGGGAGGCAGCAGUGGGGAAUUUUGGACAAUGGGGGCAACCCUGAUCCAGCCAUGCCGCGUGUGUGAAGAAGGCCUUCGGGUUGUAAAGCACUUUCGGCCGGAACGAAAUCGCGCGGGCUAUUACCCCGCGUGGAUGACGGUACCGGAAGAAGAAGCACCGGCUAACUACGUGCCAGCAGCCGCGGUAAUACGUAGGGUGCGAGCGUUAAUCGGAAUUACUGGGCGUAAAGGGUGCGCAGGCGGCGUCGCAAGUCAGGCGUGAAACCCCCGGGCUUAACCUGGGAAUUGCACUUGAAACUACGAUGCUGGAGUAUGGCAGAGGGAGGUGGAAUUCCACGUGUAGCGGUGAAAUGCGUAGAGAUGUGGAGGAACACCGAUGGCGAAGGCAGCCUCCUGGGCCAAUACUGACGCUCAUGCACGAAAGCGUGGGGAGCAAACAGGAUUAGAUACCCUGGUAGUCCACGCCCUAAACGAUGAUGACUAGUUGUUGGAGGAGUUAAAUCCUUUAGUAACGCAGCUAACGCGAGAAGUCAUCCGCCUGGGGAGUACGGUCGCAAGAUUAAAA